GAUGAAGAACGUAGCGAAAUGCGAUACGUAAUGUGAAUUGCAGAAUUCAGUGAAUCAUCGAAUCUUUGAACGCACAUUGCGCCCGCCAGCACUCUGGCGGGCAUGCCUGUUCGAGCGUCAUUUCAACCAUCAAGCCCCAGGCUUGCGUUGGAGCCCUGCGGCUGCCGCAGCCUCCUAAAAGCAGUGGCGGGCUCGCUAUCACACCGAGUGCAGUAGAUUACUCUUCGCUCAGGGCGUGCAGCGGGUUCCGGCCGUGAAACCCCCUACUUUUAAAGGUUGACCUCGGAUCAAGUAGGAAUACCCGCUGAACUUAAGCAUAUCAAUAAGCGGAGGA
rnacentral:misc_RNA from 1 species